rnacentral:snoRNA from 7 species
ACCUUCUUGUAUAAGCACUGUGCUAAAAUUGCAGGAACUAAGAUUCUAUCUUGGUUUUUGUAAUAAUGCUAGCAGAGUACACACAAGAAGAAAAGUAACUGCACUGGAUUGCAAAGACUGGGGUGGACCUCUUUCUUAAUGUCCAGUGUCCUAUGUCAUAAGAUUCGGUGCAAUAAGU